rnacentral:lncRNA from 9 species
AGUAAGUGCUCAAUACCAGGAUCUGUCACUGUCGCUCAGGCCCCAUCUCCUGCGGGCGGUUCUCGGCUCAGAACCAUGUCAGACCCUCUUCCUCCAGGGCCUCUUCUUCCAAGUCAGAGGAGCAGCCUCCUCGAAGCCGACGGGUGGCUGCUCCCAGUUCUCAGAAAGCCUUCAUCCGAGGUAACCGCCGGGCUCACGGACACCGGAGGCGGCGUCUGUCCCGCUUUGUUCCCAGCAGCCUCCAGGGAGCAUGUGCUCCUGGUUGUGGAGCAGAUUUGAAAGAUAACCUCAUCCUACCAGAAACGAUCAGAAGCUGGGGGUCGCCUUUCCCUCUGGGUCCCUGUCCUAGCAGAGGUGUGAUUCCAGGGCUGCCAGGGGGCAACCAUCCCAUCGCACGUCUGUCUGGUGGCUCUGCGCUCACAGCUGGUUGCUGGGCGGGCUGCUCUGUUCUCCGGGCCUACGGUGGGCCUGGGCUUGUCUGCAGGUUGGCAGGCACAAGCCUUGCUCCUCUUUUAGGGAACGUGGCAGGACUCGCAUCACUCCCUAUCCAUGGUCCUCACUCGUGCCCAGCCCAGUGACAAUGGACGUGUGACCCUACAGUUUCUGCAAGAACGGCUUUCAUCAGGUGUUGCCCAGAUAGCGAAACAUGUCCGCGUGAUGCCAGGCAUCUUCACUUGAACCGCCCCGGGCGGGAAUCUAAGGGGCAUUAUCACACCUUUUACUGUAGAACUGGCUCGACUGAAACCUCAGUGGUCAGAGGCAACAUGUGACUGCCAGCCUUGUUACAAUGUACCGCUGCCCACAGGGACUCAGAGACGGAGAAAUCAAGAAGACAGCCGGCUCCUUAGAAGGGAAACCGGAUGCAAACGGUGUGACCGGUGACUCGGCCUGGCCACCGACGUGUGCCCGUGGCGGAUGUCGGCCUCUGGUCCCCACCAGACGUCUUGGGGUCCCCGAGCCCCCCACGCUGCCUGUGACCCGGCGUCGGAGCACCGCCACCCUGGGCGGCUUGAGCACCUUGCUUCCAAAGACGCCCGUGAGCCACAAACCCCUUCUCAGGUCUCUUCGUGGGUGGCUGUUUAAUUACGAAAACCACGUACGCAUUUGUAAGUUUUGCCCAUCUGUGAUUUCCCUGCCGCUCUGGUCCCCGUCCCACCAACCCCCACAUCCUGGGUCGCCCCCUCACUGGAGCCGCAGCCUCUCUCCCCCGAGAUGGGAUCGGCUCCUUAACUCCGCUCGAGCGUCCGCUGGCGCUGAGAAUUUCACGUCUCAUUGACGUGACUGGUAUCAGUAAGUUUCCUCCUCCCGAAUCCUCAGGCCCUGGGAGCCCUUUAGGGUCCCCGUAGCAGGGGGGUCUCUCCGCCCCACAACCCUGUCUCCCCAACCGCGCGUCUCAGAUCCAGCCCCUGUUGCUCGUGCUGCCCCCUCCCUGGGCAGGUGGCUCCUCCUGCUCUGCAACCGCAUGUUCCCGGCCUGCUCGCUGCCACGGAGCCCGGGCCUGACGUCCCGCAGCCCUGGGUAUUCCUGCCACUCUUGGGGCUGGUGUCGCUGUAAACCUGCCUCUGCGUUGGGUCACGGCCUUCACCGCGGCUCUACCCUCAGCCAUCCGUCCAUCCUGGCCAGUCAACACCCCGCUGCCCCAGCCGGUGGAGCCCCGCCGAUGCCUCUGCUCUGCUUACCUCCCUGAGAGGGUGAGAGUAUUCACACCUGAGCUCCCGCGUGCCAGGUGCUGUGCCAAGGGCUCCGAGGGCUGACCCCAUCUUUGUCCUGUUUAUUCCUGUCACAGAUGAAGCACCGGAGGCCCAGAGAAGUCACAAAACAGGUUCGUGGAAGAGCCGGGAAUUCAGGUCCGGGUGGCGUUACCGUGGAGCCCAACCUUUGCGCACUGCAUACAGCGCCUCUCUGAGGCGGUCACCGGCCUUACACGCCAGCCCCGGACCCCGGCCAGGGCCCAGCUCGCACACCCUGGGAGACCCGGUGAGGUCA